rnacentral:rRNA from 1 species
UGCAGUCGAACGGCAGCGGGGGCUUCGGCCCGCCGGCGAGUGGCGAACGGGUGAGUAAUGCAUCGGAACGUACCCAGUCGUGGGGGAUAACUACGCGAAAGCGUAGCUAAUACCGCAUACGCCCUGAGGGGGAAAGCGGGGGACCUUCGGGCCUCGCGCGAUUGGAGCGGCUGAUGUCGGAUUAGCUAGUUGGUGGGGUAAAGGCCUACCAAGGCGACGAUCCGUAGCUGGUCUGAGAGGAUGAUCAGCCACACUGGGACUGAGACACGGCCCAGACUCCUACGGGAGGCAGCAGUGGGGAAUUUUGGACAAUGGGCGCAAGCCUGAUCCAGCCAUGCCGCGUGAGUGAAGAAGGCCUUCGGGUUGUAAAGCUCUUUCAGACGGAAAGAAAUCGGGCGCGUGAAUAUCGUGCCUG